rnacentral:lncRNA from 1 species
UCUGAUGCCCUAAUGCUCCUCUUCCACCCCCUCUCAAGCUCUUGAAUCCCGAACACCAUCGGCACUGCCACCUCCAAGCAUCUCAUGUGCUCUCCUUUUCUACAAAUCUUUAAAAAAUAUAAUAAAAUGAAAAGAAAAAGAAGCAAAAAUUGCCCCCUUCAGCUGCACUGACUCCGGCACCACCACCCACCACCGUUCUCCAUCUCAAUCGUACUCCCUCAGAGUGCCAACGAUCUUUCGAUUGAAGCGACCGUCAUGAUGGAGCGACGUUGGGCUUUUAGGUGGCCGAGGUG